rnacentral:lncRNA from 1 species
GAUCGCAGAAGCACGUGACAAAUGCCUUCAACCAUACAAGAUUCCAAGCGAAUGGAUAUUGAAUUACUUCCUUCCUAUAAACAGACAACAAAUGUGAGCCAAUCUUUCAAUCUGAAUCCCUAAAAUUAAAAUUCCACCCCUUUUUUCCAUUGAUUUUCCCUCUCUUUUCCCCCUCUCUAUUUUUUAUGCACCACAAUUUUGACUAGCACAACUCUCUCUCUCUCCCUCUUCGACGACUCAUCGUCCCAGGUGCGUAUGAUCAAAACUCAUCCCCAUUUCUCGUGUAAUUGCAUCGAGACAUCAUUUACGUGCGUGAAUAAGUGGAUAUAUACUGUCAAGUUGCAAUUUUUGGAGGGGGGUUUCUGAGUAAUUAUUAGACCAAUCAGAGUUUAGCGAGUACCGAGGAGGAGGGUUCUUGAUAUAUGCAAUUUUUAUCCUAAUUUUUCGAUUGAGGCGAAGAACUCUUCUCUGUUUCUUGUUUUCUUUCUUCUUCGACCCCGGGGUUUGAAUUUUGUUGAGCUCUGGGGGUUCACUGCUUUCUUUCGUAUUCAUAUUUAGUUUGCUUCGAGUUCUUUAAUCUAGGUGUUUUAGAGUUCUGGUGUUUUUAUUCGUUUUAAGCUCUAUGGUAUGGAUAGUGAAUUGGUGAAAAGGGGUUUUGAUUUCACUAGAAGGAAGAAGAAAUGGUUAAUUGUGAUGGGAUUGGUUGGGAUUUCUAGCUACGGUGUGUAUAGGGCGUAUCACAUGCCGUCUGUAGCUAGAAAGAGAAAAAGAAUCUUGAAGUUGUUAGGAUCCCUAGUUUCAAUGGCUGAAAUGGUUUCUGAUUCCGCGGAGAUGAUGACAGUGGUGUCGAGGGAUUUAAAGGAGUUUUUGGAGUCUGAUUCGGACGAAAUUCCUAAUAGUUUGAAGCAGUUGUCUAAGAUUGCUCGCUCUGUAGAGUUUUCUGAGUCAGUAGCUCGUCUUUGCCAGUCGAUGACAGUAGGCGUUUUGAGGGGUUAUAAGGUAGAGAAUAGCGCGAGUGACAUUCAAGAAGAUGGCAAUUCGAGCUUUUCUGAUAGGCUUAUAGAUAAAAUGAUGUCGGAUGCUGGUACAGGAUUUGUCUCGGUUGUUAUUGGUAGCUUUGCUAGGAAUUUGGUGUUGGGGUUUUAUGCUAAUGGUGAGAACAGCCACUCGGGCGUGAUCCAUGAGAAGUCAAGUUCCUCAUCGUUGCCUACGUGGUUAACUGUGGUGGCAGAUGAUAAAUGCAGAGUAUUGGUUGCUGAUUGCAUCAAGACUUUCGUUAGCACUGCUGUUACAAUCUAUCUUGACAAAACUAUGGAUGUCAAUGUCUAUGAUGAGAUGUUCUCGGGCUUGACUAAUCCUAAGCAUCAGAAUAAGAUGACAGAAUUCUUAGUUUCUCUCUGUAAUGGGGCUGUCGAAACUCUUGUAAAGACCUCUCACCAAGUGCUGACAGCUUCUCCUAAGAAGGGAUCGAGCGGCUCUUAUUCAAUCAUUGAUCCGAGUGAAGCUUCAAACUUUGGGGACAAGAUGGGAUUAGAUGCAGAAACUCGUCUGAGAAGAGAUGGGAAUGGUCAUGUUGACCUUCAGAGUAACGGAUGGGUCAGUAGUGUUUCAUCGACAUUGGCUGUACCGAGCAACAGGAAGUUUGUUCUUGAUGUCACUGGGAGAGUGACAUUUGAGACGGUUCGAUCUGUCAUUGAGUUUUUCUUGUGGAAAGUAUCCGAGGGCUUGAAAAGAAGUGUGAAUGUGGUUCACGACGAGGUUGUGGAGAGGGGAUAUGAAGUUGUGAGAUACGUUGGGGCCAAGUCCACCAUUAUUCUCACCAUUUGUCUCUCACUGUUUCUACAUAUCCUAGGCAACAGUAGGGCAUUGGUGACUGCUUAAUGUGAUUGCGUUUUUUAUCUCAUAACGCUCAAAGGAAAGCACACUACGGAUAAUCUGUCUGUCUAUCAUCUCCAACGUCUUAUCUCCUCCCACGUCUCUGCAAAAAAUCAAGAAACUUCUUGUUUUCCAAAUUGGCUAUGAGAGAAAGCAAUCCUACAUACAAGUUGUUGGCUCCAUGGUGAAAAGCUACUGUCAUCCGAGUGCAGAUACCACGUUGAAGGAGCUAGAUAUCCAGAAGCAGAUGAUGUAGUAAGCAAACUGAACAAUUCAUAGUUAUUUAUAUGUUUUACCCUUUCUGUAGCACAUGAAUUGGUCUAUUAUAUACAGUUUAGAAUCUUUUUACAAUUUGUACUGUCUAGUGGACAUGAAUUUGUACAGAAUAUAUGAUGACCACUUGUUCUUAUUCCCUAUAUUUGAACAUUGUUUUAGAGAUUAUAUGAUGGGUUGUGUUUCCCCUUUUACCUACAGUAACUAAUCUGCUGCAUUAUUCCAACAGAGCAACCCUUUUGUUAUGGACUCUGCAAAUGUUGCUACCAUAUUUAUCUGUUUCUCAAUAAUUUAGUGUGCUCUUGCAAUGUAAUCUAGUGGUGAACAUGUGGUUAAAGGCUGAGUAUAUGAAUGCUUACACACACAACACAUAGUUGCUACUGAUUAGUUCCUACUUUGGGUUGGAAUGCGAGUCUUGAUUAUUUUUAGUGAAAGAAAAUGCAGUUACAGCUACGAUAAUGUAAAUGUUUAAAUAUUUUUAUAAAAUAUACAUUUUCUUUCUUUUCUGAAUUGAAUUGUGUUAGGUU